UAGACUCCUACGGGAGGCAGCAGUGGGGAAUAUUGCACAAUGGGCGCAAGCCUAUGCAGCCUGCGCGUGUGUGAAGAAGGCCUUCGGGUUGUAAAGCACUUUCAGUCGUGAGGAAGGUCAGUGUAGUUAAUAGCUGCAUUAUUUGACGUUAGCGACAGAAGAAGCACCGGCUAACUCCGUGCCAGCAGCCGCGGUAAUACGGAGGGUGCGAGCGUUAAUCGGAAUUACUGGGCGUAAAGCGCAUGCAGGUGGUUUGUUAAGUCAGAUGUGAAAGCCCGGGGGCUCAACCUCGGAAUUGCAUUUGAAACUGGCAGACUAGAGUACUGUAGAGGGGGUAGAAUUUCAGGUGUAGCGGUGAAAUGCGUAGAGAUCUGAAGGAAUACCGGUGGCGAAGCGGCCCCUGGACCACGAUACUGACACUCAGAUGCGAAAGCGUGGGGAGCAAACAGGAUUAGAUACCCUGGUAG
rnacentral:rRNA from 1 species